AUUGCUACUUGGCCACACAACUAGGAAAAUUAAGAUGUCUAGCCUAUGCUAGCAACUUGUGACAGUUGUGGUGAUGCUUUUUGGCUCCAGUGCCUGGAUUUCAAAGAGUAUCUCCCUGCAGUACGCAGUGAUUCUUUCAACGAAAUGCUGCUCCUGAGUGGAAAUCACGGACAAGUUCUGUUGUUUGUGACUUCCCCACCUGUCACCUACUCUGCACAGACAGAUGCUCUUGCUUGAAGCUGGAGUUCUCUACAAUCAGAAAUCUGGACACUGUGUAACCACCGAGAUUUCCUAAAUCCCGCUGAAGUGCUCAGCUCCUGCAGGAAACCCAAGCCAUGCCCACAUCAGCAGAUGCUGACAGACCUGAAUGCCUUCUGCCUGCCCUGCACACGACGCUGUGCUGUACCUGACCUGCCAGAGCUGCCUUCCAGCACUGCCCCAGCUCAGGCUGAUGGUUCUGAACUGCUGCUGAUUCACGUCCUGCCUUUGGGGAGAGUGUGGGCAGCCUGGUUUGCCAAGACCUUCAAAUAAUCUUUUUCACUUCCCGGUUUCAAAGCAACAACAUUAUGGAAGAAUUCAAAACUAAACAAGAUGAAAAAGCUCUGAAAAAAACUCUAGGCAGACUGGUCACCAGAGAGAUGUUAAAUACAUCUUUAAAUUAAAGAGUUUUAAGACCCAGAACUUUAAGAACUGACGGAGUUACACCAAAAGACAGAUGAGAAACUUGUCACUUCUUUGUGACUUCUAAACCUCUACUUCUGUAACACUGAUAGGGAGAGAGACUUAAAAGUUCUGCAAGGAUGGCAAGGCCAAAGUUAGCCCUGGUAAAAGCAAGUCUUUAAAAGAA